GGCAGCAGCCGCGGUAACACCGGCGCCCGAGUGGUGAUCGUGAUUAUUGGGUCUAAAGGGUCCGUAGCCGGUUUGGUCAGGUCCUCCGGGAAAUCUGAUAGCUCGAACUAUUAGGCUUUCGGGGGAUACUGCCUAGACGUUGGAACCGGGAGAGGUAAGAGGUACUACAGGGGUAGAGUGAAAUCUUGUAAUCCCUGUGGGACCACCUGUGGCGAAGGCGUCUUACCAGAACGGGUUCGACGGUGAGGGACGAAAGCUGGGGGCACGAACCGGAUUAGAUACCCGGGUAGUCCCAGCCGUAAACGAUGCUCGCUAGGUGUCAGGCAUGGCGCGACCGUGUCUGGUGCCGCAGGGAAGCCGUGAAGCGAGCCACCUGGGAAGUACGGCCGCAAGGCUGAAACUUAAAGGAAUUGGCGGGGGAGCACAACAAACCGGGUGGAGCCUGCGGUUUAAUUGGACUCAACGCCGGACAACUCACCGGGGCGACAGCAAUAUGUAGGCCAAGCUGAAGACUUUGCCCGAAUCGCUGAGAAGAGGUGCAUGG
rnacentral:rRNA from 1 species